GACGAACGCUGGCGGCGUGCUUAACACAUGCAAGUCGAACGGAAAGGCCCUGCUUUUGUUGGGUUCUCGAUUGGCGAACGGGUGAGUAACACGUGAGUAACCUGCCCUUGACUUUGUGAUAACUUCAGGAAACUCGGGCUAAUACCGGAUAGGAUCUCCUGCUGCAUGGUGGGCGUUGGAAAGUUUCGGCGGUUGGGGAUGGACUCGCGGCUUAUCAGCUUGUUGGUGGGGUAGUGGCUUACCAAGGCUUUGACGGGUAGCCGGCCUGAGAGGGUGACCGGCGACAUUGGGACUGAGAGACGGCGCAGACUCCUACGGGAGGCAGCAGUGGGGAAUAUUGCACAAUGGGCGGAAGCCUGAUGCAGCAACGCCGCGUGCGGGAUGACGGCCUUCGGGGUGUAAACCGCUUUGGCCUGUGACGAAGCGUGAGUGACGGUAAUGGGUAAAGAAGCACCGGCUAACUACGUG
rnacentral:rRNA from 1 species